UACGUAGGGGGCAAGCGUUGUCCGGAUUUAUUGGGCGUACAGCGCGCGCGGGCGGCCGUGUAUGUGACCGGUGACAGUCGCGGGCUCAACCCGCGCCGGCCCGGUUACACAGCAUCGCUGGAGGCAGGGAGAGGGAUGUGGAAUACCCGGUGGAGCGGUGAAAUGCGUAGAGAUCGGGUGGAACACCAGCGGCGAAGGCGGCAUCCUGGCCCUGUACUGACGCUGAGGCGCGAUAGCGUGGGGAGCAAACGGG
rnacentral:rRNA from 1 species